rnacentral:rRNA from 1 species
CCCUUAGAUGUUCUGGGCCGCACGCGCGCUACACUGACGGAGCCAACGAGUACUUUCCUUGUCCGGAAGGACUGGGUAAUCUUGUGAAACUUCGUCGUGCUGGGGAUAGAGCAUUGCAAUUAUUGCUCUUCAACGAGGAAUUCCUAGUAAGCGUGAGUCAUCAGCUCGCGUUGAUUACGUCCCUGCCCUUUGUACACACCGCCCGUCGCUACUACCGAUUGAAUGAUCCGGUGAAUAAUUCGGACUGCAGCAGUGUUCAGUUCCUGAACGUUGCAGCGGAAAGUUUAGUGAACCUUAUCACUUAGAGGAAGGAGAAGUCGUAACA